ACUAAGCGUACACGGUGGAUGCCCUGGCAGUCAGAGGCGAUGAAGGACGUGCUAAUCUGCGAUAAGCGCCGGUAAGGUGAUAUGAACCGUUAUAACCGGCGAUUUCCGAAUGGGGAAACCCAGUGUGACUCGUCACACUAUCAUUAACUGAAUCCAUAGGUUAAUGAGGCGAACCGGGGGAACUGAAACAUCUAAGUACCCCGAGGAAAAGAAAUCAACCGAGAUUCCCCCAGUAGCGGCGAGCGAACGGGGAGGAGCCCAGAGCCUGAAUCAGCAUGUGUGUUAGUGGAAGCGUCUGGAAAGGCGCGCGAUACAGGGUGACAGCCCCGUACACAAAAGCGCAUGUGCUGUGAGCUCGAUGAGUAGGGCGGGACACGUGGUAUCCUGUCUGAAUAUGGGGGGACCAUCCUCCAAGGCUAAAUACUCCUGACUGACCGAUAGUGAACCAGUACCGUGAGGGAAAGGCGAAAAGAACCCCGGCGAGGGGAGUGAAAAAGAACCUGAAACCGUGUACGUACAAGCAGUGGGAGCACCCUUUUGGGUGUGACUGCGUACCUUUUGUAUAAUGGGUCAGCGACUUAUAUUCUGUAGCAAGGUUAACCGCAUAGGGGAGCCGGAGGGAAACCGAGUCUUAAUUGGGCGUUAAGUUGCAGGGUAUAGACCCGAAACCCGGUGAUCUAGCCAUGGGCAGGUUGAAGGUUGGGUAACACUAACUGGAGGACCGAACCGACUAAUGUUGAAAAAUUAGCGGAUGACCUGUGGCUGGGGGUGAAAGGCCAAUCAAACCGGGAGAUAGCUGGUUCUCCCCGAAAGCUAUUUAGGUAGCGCCUCGUGAAUUCAUCUCCGGGGGUAGAGCACUGUUUCGGCUAGGGGGCCAUCCCGGCUUACCAACCCGAUGCAAACUGCGAAUACCGGAGAAUGUUAUCACGGGAGACACACGGCGGGUGCUAACGUCCGUCGUGAAGAGGGAAACAACCCAGACCGCCAGCUAAGGUCCCAAAGUCAUGGUUAAGUGGGAAACGAUGUGGGAAGGCCCAGACAGCCAGGAUGUUGGCUUAGAAGCAGCCAUCAUUUAAAGAAAGCGUAAUAGCUCACUGGUCGAGUCGGCCUGCGCGGAAGAUGUAACGGGGCUAAACCAUGCACCGAAGCUGCGGCAGCGACGCUUAUGCGUUGUUGGGUAGGGGAGCGUUCUGUAAGCCUGCGAAGGUGGCCUGUGAGGGUUGCUGGAGGUAUCAGAAGUGCGAAUGCUGACAUAAGUAACGAUAAAGCGGGUGAAAAGCCCGCUCGCCGGAAGACCAAGGGUUCCUGUCCAACGUUAAUCGGGGCAGGGUGAGUCGACCCCUAAGGCGAGGCCGAAAGGCGUAGUCGAUGGGAAACGGGUUAAUAUUCCCGUACUUGGUGUUACUGCGAAGGGGGGACGGAGAAGGCUAUGUUGGCCGGGCGACGGUUGUCCCGGUUUAAGCGUGUAGGUGUGUGUUCCAGGUAAAUCCGGUUCACUUUAACACUGAGGCGUGACGACGAGGCACUACGGUGCUGAAGCAACAAAUGCCCUGCUUCCAGGAAAAGCCUCUAAGCAUCAGGUAACAUCAAAUCGUACCCCAAACCGACACAGGUGGUCAGGUAGAGAAUACCAAGGCGCUUGAGAGAACUCGGGUGAAGGAACUAGGCAAAAUGGUGCCGUAACUUCGGGAGAAGGCACGCUGACACGUAGGUGAAGUGAUUUACUCAUGGAGCUGAAGUCAGUCGAAGAUACCAGCUGGCUGCAACUGUUUAUUAAAAACACAGCACUGUGCAAACACGAAAGUGGACGUAUACGGUGUGACGCCUGCCCGGUGCCGGAAGGUUAAUUGAUGGGGUCAGCGCAAGCGAAGCUCCUGAUCGAAGCCCCGGUAAACGGCGGCCGUAACUAUAACGGUCCUAAGGUAGCGAAAUUCCUUGUCGGGUAAGUUCCGACCUGCACGAAUGGCGUAAUGAUGGCCAGGCUGUCUCCACCCGAGACUCAGUGAAAUUGAACUCGCUGUGAAGAUGCAGUGUACCCGCGGCAAGACGGAAAGACCCCGUGAACCUUUACUAUAGCUUGACACUGAACAUUGAGCCUUGAUGUGUAGGAUAGGUGGGAGGCUUUGAAGCGUGGACGCCAGUCUGCGUGGAGCCGACCUUGAAAUACCACCCUUUAAUGUUUGAUGUUCUAACGUGGACCCGUGAUCCGGGUUGCGGACAGUGUCUGGUGGGUAGUUUGACUGGGGCGGUCUCCUCCUAAAGAGUAACGGAGGAGCACGAAGGUUGGCUAAUCCUGGUCGGACAUCAGGAGGUUAGUGCAAUGGCAUAAGCCAGCUUGACUGCGAGCGUGACGGCGCGAGCAGGUGCGAAAGCAGGUCAUAGUGAUCCGGUGGUUCUGAAUGGAAGGGCCAUCGCUCAACGGAUAAAAGGUACUCCGGGGAUAACAGGCUGAUACCGCCCAAGAGUUCAUAUCGACGGCGGUGUUUGGCACCUCGAUGUCGGCUCAUCACAUCCUGGGGCUGAAGUAGGUCCCAAGGGUAUGGCUGUUCGCCAUUUAAAGUGGUACGCGAGCUGGGUUUAGAACGUCGUGAGACAGUUCGGUCCCUAUCUGCCGUGGGCGCUGGAGAACUGAGGGGGGCUGCUCCUAGUACGAGAGGACCGGAGUGGACGCAUCACUGGUGUUCGGGUUGUCAUGCCAAUGGCACUGCCCGGUAGCUAAAUGCGGAAGAGAUAAGUGCUGAAAGCAUCUAAGCACGAAACUUGCCCCGAGAUGAGUUCUCCCUGAGACUUAAAGUCUCCUGAAGGAACGUUGAAGACGACGACGUUGAUAGGCCGGGUGUGUAAGCGCAGCGAUGCGUUGAGCUAACCGGUACUAAUGAACCGUGAGGCUUAACC
rnacentral:rRNA from 1 species